rnacentral:lncRNA from 1 species
AGAGGAGACCAACAUCCCGAACCUAGAGGCAACUCAUGCAUGGCUCCCACGCCCCCCCACCUCGGCCGUCAACAAGAAAACCCCCGUGCAUCCCAGGGAUGGCGCCCUCUACAGGAGGGUCCUUGCCUCACUUUCGGGAGUCUCUUAACUGCAUCUCGUUGAUUCCUAGCGUUAGAAGAACUGAGCUAACAGGAGUCUGCCACCUCUCUGCCUUGCUGAUGCACCCAGGCAGGGCUCACUGGUUUGCAGGAGUACAUGACCACAGAUCAGAGCCAUUGGCUGCACAGAUACCUGACUCUGGGCUCUCAGGAAGACUCAGGCAGAGAUGGGGAGUCGGCCUGCAAGCUGGGACGCUAGAGCUCACGUGCAGUUCUCCAUUUAGCUAGGAGGUUUCCAGGGCAACCACCGAAGCAGUAAUUAAAGAUGAAGAGCUAAAAGAGAGAAGAAUAGCAGCAACCUGGUCUCUUUUCACGGAACACAGUAAGCCACCAAAGAGGUGUGGACAGCCAGCGACCUCCACGGAAAUCAUGAAGAUGUCCUUUCUGUUCCUCACUGCCUUCUGCCACAGCCCCUGGUCGGCAAGUGACCAAUUAAAAGGACCAGCCUGUCAUUCAGGAACAAUUGACAGAGGUCUAAGAUGUGUGAGAGAGAAGACAAAGGAGGCAGAGAGAGAGAGAGAGGUGCUGGCCAGACUUGGUGACAAACAGGCCUGACACAGUGAAGACGAAGGUUAAAUACAGAGAAGAAAUAACUUGGAAACGAACAUCAAAGAAGGAUGGUGGAAAUGGUUUAGGAAGAUGUUUUAAGUGUUUUCUUUUCUGUGACCCAACAUAAUACAGACCCGUUACAGUGUGGCAGGGAGGAGAGUAAGAUGAACACCCUAGGACUGCAGGGUCUCAGCCUGGGAUUGUGAUGGGCUGGAGGAAGGUGCUGCUAGCAUUCAUGCUUUCUGCUGGCCCGCUCUUGGCUCUCCUGUGGAAUUCAGUCCUCUGCUUCCAGGACAAGCCCAGCCUGCACUUGGGGAUCCUUGGGUGACCGUUCAACCGU